rnacentral:snRNA from 1 species
GUGCUUGCUUCAGCAGCACAUAUACUAUAAAUAGAAUACAGAGAAGAUUAUCAUGGCCCCUGCACAAGGAUGACACGCAAAUUUGUGAAGCAUUCUAUAUUAAA